rnacentral:rRNA from 1 species
AUGGCGGGCCGUGCCGGGCCAGGCACGAUUAGCACGGGCCGGGCCGUGCCGUGCCGGGCCGGCCCGUUUGGCCAGCCGGCUGCGCCGCGUCGUCGUCGGAGCUCUCCUGCUGUUAGCCGGAGGCCACAACGCCUACUCGGGCCGCCCGGUCUUCUCGCUGCCCCUCGGCCUCGGCGCCCGCCCCCGCCCUUCCCGUUCGCUGCCGACUUUUCGCCAUCGCCGUCGCCGUCGCCGCGAUCCUUCCGCCUCAGCGAUGACAGCCUCGCGCGGCGCCUUCUGCCCCUCCGCCUCCGCGCCGGCCACGCGCAGCCGCCGCAGGACGCGGAUGUGGAUGCGGUCCUCCUUCCCGACCAGGAGGUCCUGAUCCUGGACGACGCUGAGCCUACCGGCGACGCCAUCUGCGCCUUCAAGGGUGGGGCGUCCUCCCCGGCGAGACCGCUCGGGAGGCUGCCGGCGUCCGGGCUUCACGCAUACGUCUGCCGCCUUCCCGAGCCAGCGCAGAGCUUCCAGCAGCUCCAAGCGCCGCUCUUACUCCACUCCUCCACCUCCUCGGCCGCCGCAGCUGCUCCAGAUUCCCCUUCUCCUUCCCCGGGCCGCGCAUUGCUUAACUGGAGCAGCGACCCGAUAGUGUUCGACUCGGCUCUUCUGGACGGAGGCGAUGUGCUCGUCUUUGCAAAGGGAGUCAGCCGCCGCCAAGGUCUUCAGUGCCUGUAUCGCUACAGCGACGACGCCGUUACCAUGCUGGCAUCUUCACCAGCAAUCGCCUCAGUACAACAAGUUACUCGCUGCCCCUCGCCACCGACGCCUAUCAAGUCAGGAGGAAGCACCAAGGUUCUUGUCACACUAGGGGUCACCGGCGAGGAUCCCAUGCCCUCCCUUGCAACCUUUCGCCGACAGCAAGCUGAAUCUUCUUCAGUGACUCUUCAAAAGAGUUCAAUUUGCGCCUGCACAAUGGGACGCAACAUCUCCAAGUUUCUCAGGAAGUGGGCACUGUACCAUAGUGCGAUUGGGGUGGACAAGUUCUUUAUCUACGAUAAUGGCAGCGAGGACAACUUGGCAGGCCUAGUGGCGCAGCUCAUAUCCGCAGGUUCUUGCCAAUGGAUGGCUGUCAUGGACGUCGAUGAGUUCAUCUUCUCAACAAACUGGAUAGGAUUAGAGAAGCCAUCAAAAUCUUUGCUAGAGCCCGUCAUUUCUGUUGAUGAUAGCGUUGGCCAAAUAUACCUUCCGUGUUAUGAUUUUGCGGUCGUCGGCAUCAGCAAUAGGGGAAGACGGAUCUGUUCUGCACAUCCACCAGAGGGGGUCUGCCAGGGCUACACGUGCCGGUUGAAGAACCCGCAGCGGCACAAAUCCUUGGUCCGUCUCAACGCUGUGGAACCAUCCCUCAUGAAUGUGGUCCAUCAUUUUAAGCUCAAGCCUGAUUUCAAAAGCAUCUGGACCGCGUUCGCACGUAUUAACCACUACAAAUACCAAGCUUGGUCGGAGUUCAAAAUCAAGUUCAAGAGGCGCGUGUCUGCUUAUGUUGCUGAUUGGAAAGAUCCGAUCAACCUCGACUCAAAGGACCGGGCUCCCGGCUUAGGAGUUGAUGACACCGAACCAGAUGGCUGGGCCCAAAAAUACUGCGAGGUUAAAGACAAUAUCCUUCAGCUGUUAACUGCAAGAUGGUUUGGUGUCGGAUUUGGGAACCCUCAUUAG